UACGAAGGGGGCUAGCGUUGCUCGGAAUCACUGGGCGUAAAGCGCACGUAGGCGGAUUGCUAAGUCAGGGGUGAAAUCCUGGAGCUCAACUCCAGAACUGCCUUUGAUACUGGAGAUCUUGAGUCCGGGAGAGGUGAGUGGAACUGCGAGUGUAGAGGUGAAAUUCGUAGAUAUUCGCAAGAACACCAGUGGCGAAGGCGGCUCACUGGCCCGAUACUGACGCUGAGGCACGAAAGCGUGUGGGGCAAACAGG
rnacentral:rRNA from 1 species